rnacentral:rRNA from 1 species
GCUAAUACCGCAUACACUCUGAGGAGGAAAGUAGGGGAUCGAAAGACCUUAUGCUUUUGGAGCGGCCGAUGUCUGAUUAGCUAGUUGGUAAGGUAAUGGCUUACCAAGGCAACGAUCAGUAGUUGGUCUGAGAGGACGACCAGCCACACUGGGACUGAGACACGGCCCAGACUCCUACGGGAGGCAGCAGUGGGGAAUUUUGGACAAUGGGCGCAAGCCUGAUCCAGCAAUGCCGCGUGAGUGAAGAAGGCCUUCGGGUUGUAAAGCUCUUUCAGUUGAGAAGAAAAGAUUGUGACUAAUAAUUGCAAUUCAUGACGGUAUCAACAGAAGAAGCACCGGCUAACUACGUGCCAGCAGCCGCGGUAAUACGUAGGGUGCGAGCGUUAAUCGGAAUUACUGGGCGUAAAGGGUGCGCAGGCGGUUCUGUAAGUCAGAUGUGAAAUCCCCGGGCUUAACCUGGGAACUGCGUUUGAAACUAC